AGACCACCCAGGACUGAAACAAGAAAGGACUAGAAUGACCACAAGAACCCAGUAAAUGACUAGAAUCCAUGAAGACAAGAUUCUGAACCAAGGUUGAAAAUAAGACAAGGAUGUAGGAGUCAAAUACAGAAAACAGUGCUUAGGCUUGACCCCUGUUGCUGAGAUUUCUCCAUCACCUGAAGUUGCCCUGUAUUGAGAAUUCCUCUUACCCAGAAGCCAACUGCUCACCUACGCCUCUCUGACUCCACAAUCUGGCCCUGCUGAUGCCAUUCCUCCCUCCCUUCCCUAAAGGGAAUAUGAUACAUGCCCCACAUAUCCAUGCCCUUCCA